rnacentral:lncRNA from 1 species
AUGAACCGAGAGAAUGGACAAAGGGCUGAUGAUGUGUACACAAAUAUUGACGUUGUAAAUGGUCAAUCUGGAAAAGAGAUGGCGGACUGUAACGCAAAGAGAAUCCAUUCCUCUGAACUCCCAGGAAGUGAUUGUGUGAAGAUGCGAAGCUCCAGAGCAGCUGAAGUGUGUUUGCUGCUGCUGUGUGUUCUUCUGCUGACAGCAAUCCUAGUGCUCUUCACUCGAGAGAGACAACUACCCAACAAUACCAACUUCACAGAGGACAGAGAUCAGCUACUUACCAAGAUGAUCGACCUAAUUCAACUCAACGACCAGUUAGUUCAAGAGAGACAUGAACUGACAAAGUUUUUUCAAGAUGGAUGGAUUUAC